UCCCGGUUGAGUUCUGUCUGUAUACCAAAAUAUAACUGGUCUGGAUUAAAAAGUCCUUGCUUCAAAUAUAUCUGGUCUUUUCUGCAGGUGCAGUGUGAGUUCCUUGGCCAUCUAGCAAGUCCAUCAUGGCUUCUAGGGCAGUGGAAAACUAGGAGGACUUCAACUUUCCCUGUCCCUCUUUCCUGUACCAUUUACCUUUACUGUCUUGAAAGAGAGUAUCUUGUGUCACAGUGCAAGAUGGCAGCCUCCGUAUUCCGAAAUCACAGUCAGUCACAGCUAGAAAAAUUGUUAAAAGAAAGAAGACAGUUCUAUUUUCAACAGACUCUUGAAGACAUAUGAAAAAGGGUUUUGAAGACUAUACCUUUGUAAAAGUGACAGGAAUGCUAGCAUCAAGCUGUAU